rnacentral:rRNA from 1 species
AUUGAACGCUGGCGGCAGGCCUAACACAUGCAAGUCGAGCGGAGCGGCGGACGGGCGAGUAAUGCCUAGGAAUCUGCCUGGUAGUGGGGGAUAACGUCCGGAAACGGGCGCUAAUACCGCAUACUCUCAGAUGAGCCUCUGUCGGAUUAGCUAGUUGGUGGGGUAAAGGCCUACCAAGGCGACGAUCCGUAACUGGUCUGAGAGGAUGAUCAGUCACACUGAGACUGAGACACGGCCCAGACUCCUACGGUAGGCAGCAGUGGGGAAUAUUGGACAAUGGGCGAAAGCCUGAUCCAGCAAUGCCGCGUGUGUGAAGAAGGUCUUCGGAUUGUAAAGCACUUUAAGUUGGGAGGCGUUACCAACAGAAGAAGCACCGGUUAACUUCGUGCCAGCAGCCGCGGUAAUAC